AGAUUGAACGCUGGCGGCAGGCCUAACACAUGCAAGUCGAGCGGCAGCACGGGUACUUGUACCUGGUGGCGAGCGGCGGACGGGUGAGUAAUGCCUAGGAAUCUGCCUGGUAGUGGGGGAUAACGCUCGGAAACGGCGCUAAUACCGCAUACGUCCUACGGGAGAAAGCAGGGGACCUUCGGGCCUUGCGCUAUCAGAUGAGCCUAGGUCGAUUAGCUAGUGGUGAGUAUGCUCACCAGGCGACGAUCCGUACUGGUCUGAGAGGAUCGGACCAGUCACACGUGGAACUGACGACACGGUCCAGACUCCGUACGGGAGC
rnacentral:rRNA from 1 species